rnacentral:rRNA from 1 species
UGGGGAAUAUUGGACAAUGGGCGCAAGCCUGAUCCAGCAAUGCCGCGUGUGUGAAGAAGGCCUUCGGGUUGUAAAGCACUUUUAUCAGGAGCGAAACGCUGUCGGCUAAUACCCGGCGGAACUGACGGUACCUGAGGAAUAAGCACCGGCUAACUUCGUGCCAGCAGCCGCGGUAAUACGAAGGGUGCAAGCGUUAAUCGGAAUUACUGGGCGUAAAGCGUGCGUAGGCGGUUUCUUAAGUCUGCUGUGAAAUCCCCGGGCUCAACCUGGGAAUGGCAGUGGAUACUGGGAGGCUAGAGUGUGUCAGAGGGUGGUGGAAUUCCCGGUGUAGCGGUGAAAUGCGUAGAGAUCGGGAGGAACAUCAGUGGCGAAGGCGGCCACCUGGGACAACACUGACGCUGAGGCACGAAAGCGUGGGGAGCAAACAGGAUUAGAUACCCUGGUAGUCCACGCCCUAAACGAUGCGAACUGGAUGUUGGUCUCAACUCGGAGAUCAGUGUCGAAGCUAACGCGUUAAGUUCGCCGCCUGGGGAGUACGGUCGC